rnacentral:sRNA from 1 species
GCCAGGAACAUAUAUAUGGGCCAAAAAAAAAAAAAAAACUUCGACAUGGCCCUGGUUGUAUGAAAACCUAGAAUAAAUUUUAGCUCUUAAUCUACUACUUGGCGCCUGCUGCCACUUAACGCCCGGUUGUGUAAAAUCAUUUCAAAUCAACUUUGAAUACCAAUAUCUCUUGGACGGGCGCUACGCACUAAACAAAUCCUUCUCGCCGUUGGAUUCCAGAAGACAGGUCCUUGAUUGCCCCGAGACCCGGGGGCGAAUGCACAACUUGCUUUCGACCGACUGAACACGCUCAGAAGCCGGCAUUUAAGGCAGCAGUUAAAAGCAACUCAACCGCCAGGGCUUCGGGCUCGGAUCCAUUUAGAUGGAUCUCUACCGAUCUACACGCCUAAACGCUAGGAUAGUUCGCCGUUCCUGGCUAUCUCCCAGAGAUCAAAGCUCUGUCG